rnacentral:rRNA from 1 species
CCAGACUCCUACGGGAGGCAGCAGUGGGGAAUAUUGCACAAUGGGGGAAACCCUGAUGCAGCGACGCCGCGUGAGUGAAGAAGUAUUUCGGUAUGUAAAGCUCUAUCAGCAGGGAAGAAAAUGACGGUACCUGAUUAAGAAGCCCCGGCUGACUACGUGCCAGCAGCCGCGGUAAUACGUAGGGGGCAAGCGUUAUCCGGAUUUACUGGGUGUAAAGGGAGCGUAGACGGCAUGGCAAGUCUGGUGUGAAAGGCAGGGGCUCAACCCCUGGACUGCAUUGGAAACUGUCAGGCUGGAGUGCUGGAGAGGUAAGCGGAAUUCCUAGUGUAGCGGUGAAAUGCGUAGAUAUUAGGAGGAACACCAGUGGCGAAGGCGGCUUACUGGACAGUAACUGACGUUGAGGCUCGAAAGCGUGGGGAGCAAACAGGAUUAGAUACCCGAGUA